rnacentral:rRNA from 1 species
ACUUUCAACAACGGAUCUCUUGGCUCUGGCAUCGAUGAAGAACGCAGCGAAAUGCGAUAAGUAAUGUGAAUUGCAGAAUUCAGUGAAUCAUCGAAUCUUUGAACGCACAUUGCGCCCGCCAGUAUUCUGGCGGGCAUGCCUGUCCGAGCGUCA